UACGUAGGGUGCAAGCGUUAAUCGGAAUUACUGGGCGUAAAGCGCGCGUAGGUGGCUUCGUAAGUCCGUUGUGAAAGUCAAAGGCUCAACCUUUGAAAGCCGAUGGAUACUGCGGAGCUAGAGUACGGAAGAGGCGAGUGGAAUUCCUGGUGUAGCGGUGGAAUGCGCAGAUAUCAGGAGGAACACCAAUAGCGAAGGCAGCUCGCUGGGACGUACUGACACUAAGGCGCGAAAGCGUGGGGAGCGAACAGG
rnacentral:rRNA from 1 species